rnacentral:sRNA from 1 species
AUAGUAAGUAACAGAUUGCCUGCCCUGGAGCACGAACAGUACAGAUAGUGACAAUGCAAACUUUCCCAUGCUGCCCCACCAGAGUGCCCUCGCUCUAACUCAGAGGGUGCACCAGAGGGGAGAGGAUAAACAGUUAUCUUCCUAACCAUUAGCUUUG